GGGCCCGCACAAGCGGUGGAGUAUGUGGUUUAAUUCGAUGCAACGCGAAGAACCUUACCAGGGUUUGACAUCCUGCGAAUCUCUUGGAAACCGGAAAGUGCCUUCGGGAGCGCAGUGACAGGUGGUGCAUGGCUGUCGUCAGCUCGUGUCGUGAGAUGUUGGGUUAAGUCCCCGCAACGAGCGCAACCCACGUCUUUAGUUGCCAGCAUUUAGUUGGGCACUCUAGAGAGACCGCCGGUGAUAAACCGGAGGAAGGUGUGGAUGACGUCAAGUCAUCAUGCCCCUUACAUCCUGGGCUACACACGUACUACAAUGCUACGGACAAAGGGCAGCAAACUCGCGAGAGCUAGCAAAUCCCAUAAACCGUGGCUCAGUUCAGAUCGUAGGCUGCAACUCGCCUGUAUGAAGUUGGAAUCGCUAGUAAUCGCUGGU
rnacentral:rRNA from 1 species